GUUUUAGUAAUUUAAUAAAAAUAUUGGUCUUGUAAAUCAAAUUUAAGAAAUUUCUUCUAAAACU
rnacentral:tRNA from 1 species